CAGCCUGUUUAUAUUUAUAGGCUGUUUCAACUUCAAUUUCAAAAUAUUUUUUUUAUUUUCUAAAAACAGUUUGAAUUUAGGUGUGUUCCGCCUCCUCAUUCAUUCACAUAAAAAUAGUAAUUUUUACUUUUGCGGACAAUUACAUUGUUGGGACAUUUCUGACACGGACAAAAUUCCCCAAGCACUUCCCAAUUGUUUGUGCAGUUCACGUUUGCAAACAUUUGCUCAUCUCCAGUCAGAACAGGAUGUGUUCACAUUUUCCAUUCCACAUUUAUAUUGUAGCGUAAUGUACGUAUGGAGCAUAAUAUAUUUGUCUAUAUUCUUUAUAAUCGCGGACACGUGAGGAAACGUUACUCAUUUCAUAACCUUUAUGGUGUUAUAGUCAAUCGUGCUUAUGUAGCUACCUUCGUCUAUUAACUCUAAAACAAUGCUAAUUGCGUUAGAGAACUAUUAUCUUGUGUUGUAUUUUGACGCUAUGUGGCCUUAUGACUCCCAAGUGGUGCAGCGGUCAAAGGCACAGCACAUCAGUGCAAGAGGCGUCACUACAGACGCGGUUCAAAUCCAGGCGGCGUUUCUAUCCAAGUAAGUGCCUUAUUACGUUAUAAUAGUUUCCGUAUGCCGUUUCUGCUGUAGCUCACUGUAUGUAUGGAGCAUAAUAUAUUUCUUAUAACCGCGGACACGUGAGGUAACGUUACACAUUUUAUAACCUUUAUGUUGUUAUAGUCAAUCGUGCUUACAAUAUUCUAUUAGCUCUGUAAAACAAUGCUAGUUGCGUCAGAGAACUAUUGUGUUGUAUUUUGAAGCUACCCUGGACUUAUGACUCCCAAGUGGCGCAGCAGUCUAUGGCACUGCAUCUCGGUACUAGAGGCGUCACUACAGACACCCUGGCACAAUUGGCCCAGCGUUGUCCGAGUUUGGCCGGUGUAGGCCAUCAUUGUAAAUAAUAAUUUGUUCUUAAAUGACUUGCCUAGUUAAAUAAAUAAAAAUAUGACCAUGGUUUGUUUAUUUGGUGUAUUCAGCAUAGCUCUGUUCUGCCCUGCCUUGCCCCCCAUGUGGCGCUCAAAAGUUAGUUUCUUACUGUUAUAACUCAAAUCUGUGAUUUUGUCAAUGCAAUAAACUAUUUUUUAUAGCAGUGUUUAUUAUGUUACUUCUUUGUGGUAUUGUUUUAUUGCUAUAUCCUUAUAUUGUAUUCUAAUGAAUAAUUCAUAUUUAUUCUGUACUUUCAGAAACCACAAACAUUAUUUGCCAAUAUUGUUAAUUGUUUACUCCAUGUGUAACUCUGUGUUGUCUGUUCACACUGCUAUGCUUUAUCUUGGCCAGGUCGCAGUUGCAAAUGAGAACUUGUUCUCAACUAGCCUACCUGGUUAAAUAAAGGUGAAAAAAAAAAGAAAAGAAAAAUAUCAUAACUGGAGCUGGACGUCUUUGGAGCUGAAGAAUGACAGCUUUUGUAUGCUAACGUACACUCCUUAACAGUUGUACUGGAUGAAAACACAGCAAGAAAACACAUAUGCCAAUAUGGAAUAGUCAUCUAUUUUAUUGCAGUAUUGGUAGUUGGUUCAACAACUUGUUUUACUAGAGGACAAAAAACGGAAUAUGCAUAACCCAUAUUUAAUAUCCAUGCAGUGACUGAACAACAACUGCAUUUCCACCCCCAUCUCUAAAGGCAUAGUAUCAUGGCUGGUCACCUGUCAGACAGGCAGACUUUGCAGUGCCUCCGUGUGCGACUACCUUGAGCAGCAGUUUGAGGGACAUUGCAGGGAAAAUGCCGUGCAGUGAGGCGUAGGGGAUUGUCUACAGCAGGACGACCCCCAGUGGAUGGGCGCCGAGGGGUGUGGUGCUCCUCCAGCAGCUCUCAUGAGGUUCUCUCUGUAUUUUUGGUGGUCCACCUUCCCUGUGGCCGACAUGGUUGCUGUAUGGACAGUGGAGAGGACAUGGACGUCUCGUUUGUCAUGCCACUUUACUGCCAGCUGUUGACCGUUCUCCUGGAACUCCACCUCCCCUCUCUGCAUCUUCCUGCAUCCAAAUGCCGGCAUCCCCUUCCUGUUCGACACGACUGUGCCACAGGCCCCUGUGCUGUUGGAGAGCAGAUGCUGGAAGAGUGUGGGACUGCUGUACCUAUUGUCCACAUGCAAAGUGUGUCCCUUGCCGAGAUGAGGAGCCAGCAUGGUCAUCACCACGGACCCGGACACCCCAAGCCCCUCAUAAUGUUUGAUGUCAGUGGUGGACCCUGUGUAAACUAUAAUAUCCUGGACAAAUCCUGUCUUCACGUCGCACAUGACAAGGAACUUGACUCCAAACCUGUGCCUUUUGGAGGGAAUAUAUUGACGGAACGCCAGCCUACCUUUCCAUAACACCAGGGACUCAUCAAUGCAUAGGUCCUUGUAUGGCACAAAGACCUGACCAAAUGCUGAUGUCAGGCUGAUAAGAACAUUUCUUAUUUUGUAUAAUGUGUGACUUAGGAUGGCAGUAGCAUUGUUGACGAAAUGCAGGCAUAGCAGCAGAACUAGGAAGCGGUCUUGGGAAAAGAGGGUGGCAAAGAAGGGAGUUGCAAACAUAGGAUCUGUGCUCCAGUAUUCUCUUAGAGUUCUUCUUUACUAUCCCAUGAGGAGAACUGUCACCAGGAAGGUAUACGUUUCACUAAUUGUGGUUGUCACCCAUUUAGCGAGUUUCCCCCUCACUCCUGGCUCUCAUCUCCUGUAGCUCCAAGGCAUAGCGGUUGGUCUCCUCUACUAUGUUUCCCACCAGCUCCUCUGUCAGAAACAACUUGAAGCACUCUGCCUCAGUUGGAAAUGGCAAGGGGCGUUGCACUCCAGACUGGGACUCGUCAAAGCAAACAGCAGGGCCAGGAGGGGUGAAAUGACUGGUGGCCUUCCAGGUACCACAGAACUCCUGUACUUCAUCCACUGUCGGUCCGCCUCCAUCACCACUAGCAUCUUCAAAGGGACCUAGUACUUCGUCAGUGGACAAGGGAAAUUCAGAUUCAGGGUUCUCAAUGGCUACAAGGUUGGGGGGCAGCUCCUCACUGUCACUGUCCGAAUCUGAUUCCUGACUUUCAUACUCAGACUCAUUGUCAGAAUUUUAAAAAAUCUCCAGAAUUACCACAUUUGUGAGUUGUCUCCUUUUGAAAGACAUUGCUAAUGCUACAGCUUAGCUCACUAGCUACAUACAUAAACAACACUGAAUGGCGCAGAGUGAGAGGUUACGUGGUUGACUGCCGGAACGCGCCACUUGUAUCAAUAAAUCACUCAGAAAAUGUGUGGCAAUUAUUUGUGUAUUUACGGUUUUAUUCACGUUUUCAAUUCUAGGUGACAAAUCAUGCAUUCCGAUUCUUACACAGAUUGUAAUGGGCACAUAUUAUGUGUGUAAAAUACUUUUUUGAAGGUUGUACUAAUUAUGAUGAGCUAAGCUAAUUCCAGCUGUGUAGCCAUGUUUGUUGAAAUACAAUGCAUUCUGGGUUUCACGUCUGUUUGACCAAAGAUGUUAUAACAAAAUGAGGUGAGAGUUCACACAUUUUUUGAGGACUUCCGGAAAUUAAUGGUGGGAUGUGAACCACGGUAGAUGACACACCCCUUCAACAUGCAUACUAUAAACAGACCAAACUCAUCCCGUGUUCUCUUAUUAUCUUCGGUUUCUGUGAGGAAAAAAUUCAUGGCUGCGCGGUGAAACUAAUCGUCGGAUUACUUUCGAUUUCUAUAAAGUGUUUUACCUAGUUAUUUCGAUCAAUGUUGAGCUCACCUGUGAUGUGAUUAAUUAUACAUAGUAAUUGCUAUUAGCUAAUUCAUAUUGUAGUUUAUGUCAGCCGAGAGUUAGAAAAUAUGACUGCUUGUGUUGGGUCAAUAUUUCCUCAGCUAGCGCUAGGACAAAUGUAGCCUACAUUUUUCCGGUUAGGAUGACAUUCUGGACAUAACUUUGUAAGGACUGUGUUUGUGUAAAUAGUUUCUGAAAAAAAGUGUGGCCAGCUCAAACGCUGAUUGUUGCGUCAUUCGAAACUGGCCGUUUUAAACGAGCGUUCUAAUCACACAUGGUACAGGAGUCGGGUGGCACCUUAAUUGGGGAGGAUGGGCUCCUGGUAAUUGCUGGAGCAGCAGAAUUAGUG